AACGAACGCUGGCGGCAGGCUUAACACAUGCAAGUCGAACGCCCCGCAAGGGGAGUGGCAGUCGGGUGAGUAACGCGUGGGAACAUACCCUUUUCUACGGAAUAGCCCUGGGAAACUGGAAUUAAUACCGUAUACGCCCUACGGGGGAAAGAUUUAUCGGGGAAGGAUUGGCCCGCGUUGGAUUAGCUAGUUGGUGGGGUAAAGGCCUACCAAGGCGACGAUCCAUAGCUGGUCUGAGAGGAUGAUCAGCCACAUUGGGACUGAGACACGGCCCAAACUCGGAAGGGAGGCAGAAGGGGGGAACAGGGGAGAACGGGCGGAAGCCGGAGCGAGACAUACCGCGUGGGUGAAGAAGGCCUUAGGGUUGUAAAGAAUUGUGGUGGGGAAAGAAAUGCAGCAGGUUAAUACCCCGGUGGUCGGACGGGAGAAAAAGAAUAGGAACAGGCGAAAUUCGGG
rnacentral:rRNA from 1 species